rnacentral:sRNA from 1 species
AAAAAAACCCACCACCCCCUCACUGCCUCAGUCACCGCCACCACUGCUAGCGGGCCCAAAGAAACAGCUCGCUGCCUUUAAUUUGGGGACCUAUGUUAAUGAAGUUGGUAAUUAAUUCGUCGCUUUGUUGUCGGUUCUUAUACUGUAUGUGUAAUCAAAUGUGGCCGUCCUUGGGAUUUACAGCAAUUAGCGAAUUACGGGAGUGCGCACGAGGCUGCAAGUUCUCCGCAGCCCGGCUGGGCUCGGCUCCGGCUCGGCCUAAGGCUGGGCACUCCGCUGCCGCAGCUGACUUGCAGGUGUGUUCUAAGAGCGUGAGGUCCUGGAGGCUCCACGAACCCUGGAGCGCCUCCGGGCUUGCCCAGAUCUUCCUGGCUCCUCUGUAGCUGCUCCAGUCCGAAGAAAACCCCUGGCUGUCGCGUUCCCUGGAGCCACGACUUUGUGGGGCCUAGGCUUGGGGGGAGGGUGAGUACGGACCUUUCCUUGUUACCCCGCCCCCACCGUGCAGAAACACCUGGCGACUGUCCCCAAGGCCUUUCAUUUAGGAGAGGUAAACAAAUGUCCCAGGCAGUUGUCCCCCGUGGCCCGGGCUGUGGGAAGCAGGUCCUGGCUCUUGGUCCGAGCCAUCGUGCUUUGUACGUUGGAAGGGCAAAUCCACGCGAAUCUCUCGAAAAAGAGGCGAUUUCCCACCCCGAGAAAAGAAUUCUCCCCAGUUUGAUCAUAAUGAUGUUGAAAGCAUCAAAGAGCUAAAAAGAAAAAAAAAAAAAAGACCAUUAUGGAUGUAGUAAAGCAAGGCCUUGGGGACAGUGAGGGUGGGGUGCGGUAAAGAAAUAGAGCGAGAGCUUGUGAGUCACUCGAAGUAAGUGAAAAAAAUCGGAGAGAAAGCGAUCCAUCUGCAGUAGAGUCCAGAGACGUUAGGAACCUCUCAACUUCCAGGCAAAGGUUUGAGAUGUAGUCCUGAGAAGACCCAGAGCAGCCAAACCUCCCAGAAAAUUCCGGAGUGCUAUAGACAGUGGAGGAUUUCUGUUAGAUACAGCGUGGGAGGGCUUUCCCCUUCAGCGGCUGGCAGCACACAAGCCCCCGCUUCUCCUUUGCCCUCUAGUCUAAUAACUUCGCAGAAAUACAGGGCCAAUAAACCACCAGUUGGAAAUGGACAGUGUUAAAUAAACAAGGGUCUCUUUAAAAUUCUCAUCCACUUCAGAUGUCUAAAGUAAGAUCGUGAUGAUUUUGUCACGGUUUGGUAAAUUUACCCCUUUAAGAGGCUUUUCAUAAAUCCCAGAACACACCUUCAGCCAGAUUUGAAUAUAGAUUUAGGUUUUAAAACCCAGAAGCUGGAAACACCACUUUAUCAAAGAGAAUUUCCCUUUAGCUUAGCAAUAUGCUGCAGCUCUCAAAAGAUUGGAUCUGAAAGAAAGAGACGGAGGAGAAUGAGAGCCAGAGACAGAGAUGCAGACAAGGGAGGGAAGGGGAAAAAAGACUUUUCUUUUCUUUUCUUUUUUUUCUUUCUAGAGGAAUUCUGCCCAGACUCUCCAGCAGUUGGUAGCAGGCAGGCUUUCUCCUGUGUCGCCUGGAAAAGUUGCAAAAUUGCUCUUCACCUGUAAGAACAUGCUUUUUUAUCUUCCAGUCUCUUCUUGUCAAUUUGGAAAUUGCAGACAGCCCGGCUCAGGCAUUAAGAGAAAUUGAUUAGUGACAAGGAAGAGAAGAAAACAUUGCUGGUCAGUAGGCCACGGUGAGUCAUGGGCAUCUUCUGUACCUCAGGUAUUCAAGUCCCUCAGAUAAAUGGCUCCUGGGAGGAGAGAACACAUCCAAUGUAAUCCUGACGUAUGCAGAAUUGAGUUCGGUUUGAACCCAGCCAUCAAGGGAUGAAAGGGUUGAAGAAACCAUCCAAGAUGGGCCCAAACAACAGAAGAUUUCAUUUCCUUCUUUGUGCACUCACUUAACGUUACGCAGUUUAUUAAAAAGUACGUACGUGUGUACAUAUAUUUUAAAAGCCCCACCCUUAACCUCUCUGGGGGUCUUCAUGAGUUUCUGUUGCGCUUUACAAAAGAUCUGUACGGAGGAAGGGAUCGGACAACCUUGCCUUAUAUGUGUGGUCCACACCAGUAAUUGCCCCGUCCCUUCCUGAGGCCCUUAUUCCUAUGUAAAUACCCUUGCAUAAUGUUACAGGCUAUUGUUAGGCCAGCGCCAGCCAGUCGCACUUAGAUGCAUUUUUACUUCAAUCCGCUGCUCGGAGAAUGAAAAGAUGUCUGGACUUAAGCUGUUUACCAACUGGGCCGAGCUGCGGAGCAGCAAGACCGAAGAAAGCCCAAGCAUCUGCAGGAACAGGCUUUCACAAUGUGAGCAACCAUUUUCGGCGGAAUUAUUAACCCGCUCUGAAACUCUUCUAAGCUGGGCCUUUUUGAAAGAACAAAUGUGCUGAGUCGAACAUGAAUGAGCCAGGACUAUGAGGGGAGAAGCCCUCUAAAGCACUAUUGAACACAACAUAGGUUUGUGGUCAUGUUGUCCCAGUUGCCCGCUCCCAGCGCGCCAAGGAGGGUGAUGGGGCUGGCUCAUUUGUGGCGAUCGCCUGGCAAUUAAACACUAGCGCGGUACAGUAAAAAGAAAACGGCCAGGCAAGCACCACGCACUCAGAGUCAGAAAACAGUGUGAGGAGAUGAAAGGGCUGAGCUAAUAGCUCACCACUAGGACCUGACAUGCGUUUGCUUGCUAAAUAACACAGCGAUCUUUAAAGUAAAACACGGGAGGAAAAGCUUCCCAGAUCCAAAUCUCUCCCGCUCUGCCUCGUGUGGCCUCCUGGUAUUGAUACUGGGCUGAGACGUUUUUACUUUCUAGCUGUAGAGCUUCCCUGAAAUGCUACAUGAAAAUAGAGGUGUAAAAGUCUACCAGGAGGAACUAACUGGCUAGUAGAGGGAAGUUGCAGGCGGAGGACGCCCUAUUUACCUCAUGGUGGCACAGUGUGAGGAGGGUGGUAUCAGCCUACAGAAAGUCGAGUUCAUUUGCAUGCUUAUAAGAACCCAAUGAGUGCCUAAUAAGUGCUUAUAUAUGACAGGGGGAGCAUCUCUUUCCUUACUUAGUGCCACGAGAAAGAUAGAAUCCCCUCCCCCAGGUUUGGGGAAGCAGGCGAGUUAAUUAUCAUCACAAUGCGAUCAAGUACCCCAGUCAUUGAUGAAAACCAUUUCUAUUAACCACACAGCCUUGCCUCUGCGGGUCAGCGGCAGCACCUCAACCUUGCCUGGCCGCAGUACUGAUAACUUUUCCCGGAGAAAAACGCCCAUAACACCGCGCAUCUAAUUAAAUACUCAGAGAGGCAGAGAAGAAAAUACCGGCACACAGAACUCACACCAGUGAGUCCUGCCUUUGGCUGCUGGAGGCUUCCAUAUGCUGCUGUUGUUUACUCUGGAAGGAAACUGAGUCAUUUAACAUUUCAAUAGGUUAAUCAAUUGGCAAUUAAAUGGAGAAAUUGGUUAACUCUGAAAACAAUUAACACGACACUUCAUUAAGUACAGUUUCUAAUUGCUGCAGCUGUGAGUGGAAGUUAAUGAGUUUGUUAAAGCCCCCGACUGGGGUAGCACUGUGUGUGUCUAUGCACGUGCAUGAGGUGUGUGUGUGUGUGUGUGUGUGUGUGUGUGUGUGUGUGUGUAUG